AAUCUUCCGCAAUGGGCGAAAGCCUGAUGCAGCGACGCCGCGUGAGGGAUGACGGCCUUCGGGUUGUAAACCUCUUUCAGCAGGGAAGAAGCGAAAGUGACGGUACCUGCAGAAGAAGCACCGGCUAACUACGUGCCAGCAGCCGCGGUAAUACGUAGGGUGCGAGCGUUGUCCGGAAUUAUUGGGCGUAAAGAGCUUGUAGGCGGUUUGUCGCGUCUGCCGUGAAAAUCCGGGGCUCAACCCCGGACUUGCGGUGGGUACGGGCAGACUAGAGUGUGGUAGGGGAGACUGGAAUUCCUGGUGUAGCGGUGAAAUGCGCAGAUAUCAGGAGGAACACCGGUGGCGAAGGCGGGUCUCUGGGCCGAUACUGACGCUGAGGAGCGAAAGCGUGGGGAGCGAAC
rnacentral:rRNA from 1 species